GCCCUACGGGGGGCAGCAGGCGCGAAACCUCUGCAAUGCGGGAAACCGUGACAGGGGGAUCCCAAGUGCUCAUGCAUUGCAUGGGCUGUUCUUUGGUCUAAGUAACCAGAGGAGUAAGGGCUGGGCAAGACCGGUGCCAGCCGCCGCGGUAAUACCGGCAGCUCAAGUGGUAGCCGCGAUUAUUGGGCCUAAAACGUUCGUAGCCGGAUAAGUAAGUCUUUGGUUAAAUCCUGCGACUUAACCGUGGGAAAUCUAGAGAUACUGCUUGUCUUGAGACCGGGAGAGGUUGGAGGUACUCCUAGGGUAGGGGUGAAAUCCUGUAAUCCUAGGGGGACCACCUGUGGCGAAGGCGUCCAACUGGAACGGGUCUGACGGUGAGGGACGAAACCUAGGGGAGCGAGCCGGAUUAGAUACCCGGGUAGUC
rnacentral:rRNA from 1 species